rnacentral:rRNA from 1 species
AUGGUUAGUGCCAAGAGGCUUGCUCAGAUGGCAAAGAAGUGGCAGAGGAUGGCAGCCAUCAGGAGGAAGAGGCUCACCCGGACCACGGCAGCAGCGGAAGGAGCAGCCAAUGACGAGUGCUGUGCGACUUCACUGUCGGUGGCCAUGAAGGGCCACUGUGUGGUGUACACCGCCGACAGUGUGCGGUUCGAGGUGCCGCUGGCGUACCUCGACACCGCGGUCUUCGGCGAGCUCCUGUCGAUGUCCCAGGAGGAAUUCGGCUUUGCACGCGACGAUGACGGGAGGAUCAUGAUGCCCUGCGAUGCCGCCGUCAUGGAGUACGCCCUGUGCUUGCUUCAGAGAGAUGCCUCCGUGGAAACCAUGAGGGCGUUCAUGAGCUCCGUCGCGAGGCCGUGCAGCAGCUUUGAUGGCAGCGCGGUGGCACCAUCUGUAGGGCUUGGCCACCAAGUAGGCGUCUGUUAG